rnacentral:rRNA from 1 species
UACGUAGGGGGCAAGCGUUGUCCGGAUUUACUGGGCGUAAAGAGCGCGUAGGCGGAAGUUUAAGCGGUGCUUGAAAGCCCCCGGCUCAACCCGGGGAGGGUGGUGCCGAACUGGAUUUCUUGAGGGCGAUAGAGGAGAGUGGAAUUUCCGGUGUAGCGGUGAAAUGCGUAGAUAUCGGAAGGAACAUCAGUGGCGAAAGCGACUUCCUGGACCAGUACCGACGUUCAGGCACGAAAGCGUGGGGAGCAAACAGG